rnacentral:rRNA from 1 species
GCAACGUCGAGCCCGGUUAGUACUUGGAUGGGUGACCGCCUGGGAAUACCGGGUGCUGUAGACAC